AUGUUCAACAGAAUUUUUUGGAGAGGAUGGUCUUUUAAUAAUCUUUACCAACUUGAGCUAUUAGGGAGAAUAAAGAAGACCACACUCCACAGUGGGCUAUAUCACUAAACAUAUAGUUCACUAUUAUUUUGUGGCCUAUAUU